UUUUCAAUUGUUAUGCAAAUAACUAAUCUUAAAAAAAUACAGUUAUUCUUCAAUAAUACGAAAAUUAUUUUUAAGUGGGGCGAGUUUUUAUAUUUUAAUUUUAUAUCUAAAUAUUACCGUUUUCCAUUAAGUGGGGCGAGUUGGCAGGAGUAAUAUUAAACAUGAUUUAACCAAUUUCACAUGUGGGGCGAUUUUUUAAAAAGUGGGGCG
rnacentral:lncRNA from 1 species